rnacentral:rRNA from 1 species
GUUUGAUCCUGGCUCAGAUUGAACGCUGGCGGCAUGCCUAACACAUGCAAGUCGAACGGGGGUAGCGAUACCCUAGUGGCGGACGGGUGAGGAAUGCGUAGGAAUCUACCCACGAGAGGGGGACAACCUGGGGAAACUCAGGCUAAUACCGCAUACGCUCGUAAGAGGAAAGCGGGGGAUCUUCGGACCUCGCGCUGGUGGAAGAGCCUACGUCCGAUUAGCUGGUUGGUGAGGUAAAGGCUCACCAAGGCGACGAUCGGUAGCGGGUCUGAGAGGACGGCCCGCCACACUGGGACUGAGACACGGCCCAGACUCCUACGGGAGGCAGCAGUGGGGAAUAUUGGACAAUGGGCGCAAGCCUGAUCCAGCAAUGCCGCGUGGGUGAAGACGGCCUGCGGGUUGUAAAGCCCUUUAGGCGGGGAGGAACGACGGGACGCGAAUACCGUUUCGAAGUGACGUUACCCGCAGAAUAAGCACCGGCUAACUCCGUGCCAGCAGCCGCGGUAAUACGGAGGUGCGAGCGUUAAUCGGAAUUACUGGGUAC